CGCAAAUCCCCCUGCGUACCGUGGUAAAAAAAAGGCCCCACGAUUAUGUUCGCCGCAACCGCCGCACUCGUUGCCCCUCAUCCUCGGCAGCGAGAGGCACGGGGGAGCUGCCGCCGGUCAAGAUGGGCGCCGGGGCGCCGCGCUCUACCUCGGCACCAACGCCCUCUGCGACGUCGAGGGCGGCCACCGGGCCAUCGUCUUCGACCGCCUCGACGCUGGGGAUCGAGGACAAGGUCUAGGUAUCCCGAGGGGACUCGCUCAUCAUCCCGUGGAUUCGAGAGGCCGGUCAUCCAGGACGUCCGCGCAUGACCCAAUUUCGUGGAGAGCACCUCCGGAAGAAGGGGUCUCCAGACGGUAGGAUGGGCUCUGCUACAUGUAAAUGGUUCUGGCAUUUCCCACCAGUCUUCUCCCUGUCGUCAUCGUCCUUCCUGCUGCCAGCUCCGCCCUUCUCCGCCUUAUCUCCACGGCAACGAUUCUGCUCCAUCCAUUGAGGUGGAGGCUGGCCUGUAGCUCGUGUGCACGGAGGAGAAGCACACUUCACUGAGAAGUUGUUGCCACUAUCCUCGGUGCCACCGCCAGUGACGAAACUUGGUGGUGAGCCUCAUUUCGCCCCCUCUCAGUUCUUCCGUUUUGCUCUGGAUGAUCUCUGUUCAUGUUGUUAAUGUUUAAAGUAUCUCUUGUUGUUCUAGGCUUCUAGCUGAUAAUCUUGUUGGUCGCUGUCAGUGUGGUGCACAUACACCUAGGCUUUAAGUUGUUGUGAUUUUCCUAUAAGAUGUUGAGAGCAUGGAACUGAAAUUGACAUCAGAAAUAGACUUGUUAAGUGUUUGUGUUGCCACCAAUCAAAAGCUGGUAUGUAAUCUACAAGCCAACAUAGUCGACUAGUGUGAUUUCAUAAAUAUGUACACUUGUACAGAAUGGAGUAUGAACAUGCAGUUAAACUUACGAUCAUCAAUUUUCCACUUUUUAAUAACUUGUUUUCUGAAGCAUUUUGUUUUCUCCAAUUACAUGAUUUAAUAAAAUAACAUAUGGCCAGUUCAUUACAAGCGUUGUUUAUUGUAGCGUAUUUCGGCCAUAUCUUCUAACAUACUUCAGGGUUGCAUUAGUGGAAAAUAUGCUGGAAAGAGAGUGUUCAUCCCUAUGAUCCCUUUGGCGCCCUCGGAGGACAUUUCGCUUCCUUUCAAGUUGAUGAAGAGGAAACAGUUCCCUGUUUGUCAGAGUUAUGCAAAGACCAUUAAUAUAGCCCAGGGGCAAACCAUCUCAACUGUCGGUAUGUACCUUCCGGAGUAUGUACUCUCGCAUGCCCAGGUUUAUCUUGCACUGUCAAGAGGUGUGUCAUUGCAGACAACUCGGAUUCUGGUAAAGCCAAAUAAAAUAUAGAUUCCACUGGUAAAAGCACCAAGAACAUUGUGUACGGAGAUAUCUUGUAGGGAUAACAUAGCUUUUUGUCUGGUCGCACCUAUAGGCAGUAUAGAGGAUCUACUCUCAGUAAGCUCAUUUUUUCCGCUUCCAUUACUUUUUUUACCUUACUUUACACUGUGUAAUCUGUUUCAAUGCUAUGAUGCACUAUACGUAUGUUCUGCAUCAUUUUCCUUGUUGUAUCUACUGAGACCUAUUGUUGGAGCAUUCAUUUUAUUGGGAUUCUAUAUCUAAGUUGAAAACGUAAUAAGGUGAGGUUUAGAAUUUAAUUAAGCUGAUCAAAGUGUGCUUACUGGUCAGAAUGUGCUUAUUACUGGUUUCCUAUGUUAUUUUUAUGACUAUAAAAGUAAUUAUGUCCUAUGAGUCUUGGAAGGUGUGAAUUCGAAAUCAACUAUAUUUCUUGCUAUUCUGGUUUAGAUGCUUUUGAGGCCUCUGAUUCUACACUAUUCAGCCUCCUUGACGAAUAACAGUCGACUCUGAUAGUGUUUGAGUUUGUUUCUCCUAAAGCUAACUGACCAACAUCUGAACGACUUCGACUGCUGCAUACAAGUCCAGCUAAGCACGGUGCAAGUAUAACUCUGUCAGCGGAAAUGAGAUGCUUUCAUCGAUUUGCUAUGUUGAUUCAUGUGUUCCUUUUAGUCAAAGGAUAAGAUUUGCGACCAGCUUCAUGUUCUCAGAUAAUACUGGUGCAUAAUGCAUUCAGGUUGCAUUUAUCAGACUGCACCUUGUUAUCAGAUUGCCUGUACAAAGACUGAAUUUUGUUGGCUGGUACUUGCGGUGAGAAGCAGCAUGCACAUGUUGUGCAUUAGUUUGGUGGAUUUCCAUAGCUUAGCUUAUGUAUGAGAAAUAUAUUAUAUACAUUUUGUAUUGGUGGCGACUCUUUUCUUUGAAAGGUCAAAUCAUUUUAUUAUUAUUGAUUGAUCAGCAGCAAGGUAAAUAGACAAGAGUGAAUGGUUUCGGGAGAAAAGGCACAACGGCAAGUUGGCAAGGUUGUGGCUAGCUGCGUGUGGUGGAGAUGGUUUUGUAGUGUGUAGUGGGCAUGGGAAUCUGUUGCAUCCUAAAGUAGUCCUCAGUGUUUGUUUGGCAGCCUU